UGGCGGACGGGUGAGUAAUGUCUGGGAAACUGCCUGAUGAAGGGGAUAACUACUGGAAACGGUAGCUAAUACCGCAUAACGUCGCAAGACCAAAGAGGGGGACCUUAGGGCCUCUUGCCAUCGGAUGUGCCCAGAUGGGAUUAGCUAGUAGGUGGGGUAAAGGCUCACCUAGGCGACGAUCCCUAGCUGGUCUGAGAGGAUGACCAGCCACACUGGAACUGAGACACGGUCCAG
rnacentral:rRNA from 1 species